CAAAUUAAAUUUUUAGAAAAUAUAAUUUAUUUACAGUAAAUUUUUUAGUUGUUAAAAUCAACUUAAUUUGA
rnacentral:tRNA from 1 species